rnacentral:lncRNA from 1 species
CGGCACAUUAGAAAUUCCUUUUGUCUUGUCGUUCCUUGUGUGAAGAAAAAUAGUUUUUCAUUUACUUGAUUUCUUAUAUGUGUUCAACCCACUUGAUUUCUUAUGUGUGUUCAACCCCAAAAUUUUUGUGUGGAUUAUGAGUUAUGAAACUCUUCUUUGCUAGCACAUUAUCAAGGCAUAGCACUCCUAAUCCUUAAAGAAGGAUUUUCUAAUUCAUUGGUAUGGAUCACCAUUAGUGGCUGCACAAAGAUUCCUUGGACAGCUUUGGUUUACAACAACCAGCUGAGGUGGUUAAGCUUUUUGAAGGUUGAUUUAGUGGUUUAACAAAAGAUUCAUCAACCUUUGUUAUUUAGGUAAACUUGAUAUGAUCAUAUAUAUUUUAUUUUUAAUUUAAUUUUUUACUCAAUUUGGUAUGGAAGAGAUCUUAGGAGGGUGAGGCAUAAUCUAAUUUUUAAAUUUAUUUCUGCUGUGUUUUAUUUGUAUUUGAUGCAUGAUCAGUCCUGACCCAACACCUUUAACAUCAGGAGCUCAAUCCCUCUAUUCUAACCUCUAUUCUUCUUUCCCCUAGGUCGAUCCUUGGUUUUCAAACUUCCAAACAUUCCUCAAAUGGCUUCUAAAUGUUUCAAAAUGGCUGCAAAACGAAGCCACGGUGGAUCUUCUUCAAGGGUGCAUUUCUCGAUCCAUUUCAAGUCAACUUCGCACGCUCGGAAGAAGCACUCGCUACAAGACAUUCUUUGCUAGCAGAGGUGUUCACCGUUAUCUUAUAUAAUCUUAUCUAGAUAGAAUGAUCAUUAUGGGUUCUAUCUCAAAAGUGUAAAACACAGUGGUUUCCUUAAAUAAUCAAAUCUCCAACAUUUGCUAUUGUUGCUAAAAGAGCAGCCAUGAAAUGCCAAAAAUCAUGUUUCAAAAUAUGUCACAGUUCUUUUUUUUUUUUUUUUGAGUAACAAAUUUGAGAUGCGAAAUCGUGUUCAUUUUUAUAUAAUAUAUAUCAGGACAUUGUGAUUUAUACAUUUCAUUGCUGUUUGGCCGAUAAUAGGACUAUAAUGUUCUAUGUAUCAAGUGCAUGUCGAGAAGAUUGACCAGAAACUGCCAGAUAAAUCUAAAUGUAGAGCUAAACUCUUUGAAUAUUCUGUUUUUUUCUUUGACAGAUGCAUGAUUAUAUUGAAGAGAAAAAGAAAA